UACGUAGGGUGCGAGCGUUGUCCGGAAUUACUGGGCGUAAAGAGCUCGUAGGUGGUUUGUCGCGUUGUUCGUGAAAACUCACAGCUCAACUGUGGGCGUGCGGGCGAUACGGGCAGACUAGAGUACUGCAGGGGAGACUGGAAUUCCUGGUGUAGCGGUGGAAUGCGCAGAUAUCAGGAAGAACACCCGUGGCUAAGGCGGCUCUCUAGUACGGUACUGACGCUGAGACGCGAAAGCGUGGGGAGCGAACAGG
rnacentral:rRNA from 1 species